rnacentral:rRNA from 1 species
CCUACGGGAGGCAGCAGUGAGGAAUAUUGGUCAAUGGCCGUAAGGCUGAACCAGCCAAGUAGCGUGAGGGAAGACUGCCCUAUGGGUUGUAAACCUCUUUUAUGCGGGGAUAAAGGUGUCCAUGUGUGGAUGUUUGCAGGUACCGCAUGAAUAAGGACCGGCUAAUUCCGUGCCAGCAGCCGCGGUAAUACGUAAGGUCCGGGCGUUAUCCGGAUUUAUUGGGUUUAAAGGGAGCGUAGGCCGGUCUUUAAGCGUGCCGUGAAAUUUUGUGGCUCAACCAUGAGAGUGCGGCGCGAACUGGAGGCCUUGAGUGCGCGGAAGGCAGGCGGAAUUCGUGGUGUAGCGGUGAAAUGCUUAGAUAUCACGAAGAACCCCGAUUGCGAAGGCAGCCUGCCGCAGCGUUACUGACGCUGAAGCUCGAAAGCGCGGGUAUCGAACAGGAUUAGAUACCCCAGUAGUC